ACGCUAGCUACAGGCUUAACACAUGCAAGUCGAGGGGAAACGACAUUGAAAGCUUGCUUUUAAUGGGCGUCGACCGGCGCACGGGUGCGUAACGCGUAUCGAACCUGCCCUUUACUCAGGGAUAGCCUUGCGAAAGUAAGAUUAAUAUCUGAUAGUGUUGCGAUGAGGCAUCUUGUUGCAACUAAAGAUUUAUUGGUAAAGGAUGGCGAUGCGUCUGAUUAGGUAGUAGGCGGGGUAAUGGCCCACCUAGCCUUCGAUCAGUAGGGGUUCUGAGAGGAAGGUCCCCCACAUUGGAACUGAGACACGGUCCAAACUCCUACGGGAGGCAGCAGUGAGGAAUAUUGGUCAAUGGACGAGAGUCUGAACCAGCCAAGUAGCGUGCAGGAUGACGGCCCUCUGGGUUGUAAACUGCUUUUAGUUGGGAACAAAAAAGGCGACGUGUCGCCUCUGGAGUGUACCAUCAGAAAAAGGACCGGCUAAUUCCGUGCCAGCAGCCGCGGUAAUACGGAAGGUCCAGGCGUUAUCCGGAUUUAUUGGGUUUAAAGGGAGCGUAGGCGGACGAUUAAGUCAGCUGUGAAAGUUUGCGGCUCAACCGUAAAAUUGCAGUUGAAACUGGUUGUCUUGAGUGCACGCAGGGAUGUUGGAAUUCAUGGUGUAGCGGUGAAAUGCUUAGAUAUCAUGAAGAACUCCGAUCGCGAAGGCAUAUGUCUGGAGUGCAACUGACGCUGAGGCUCGAAAGUGCGGGUAUCGAACAGGAUUAGAUACCCUGGUAGUCCGCACAGUAAACGAUGAAUACUCGCAGUAUGCGAUAUAAUGUAUGCUGCCAAGUGAAAACGUUAAGUAUUCCACCUGGGGAGUACGCCGGCAACGGUGAAACUCAAAGGAAUUGACGGGGGCCCGCACAAGCGGAGGAACAUGUGGUUU
rnacentral:rRNA from 1 species